GUGAAGAAAACACGAGUCAUCAUGGGGAACUUUGUAAAAGAACCAGAGGAUCUCAGUGGCGCUGUGAUGGUGGAUGUUACUGUGCUGAGAGUCUGCUGCACUCUUGAUGAGAUUUUCUGCUUCUGAGGAAGUGAAGAAGAACCUGACGGGCACUGUGGGAGGAAACAUCACUCUACCUGACUCUGUGCUGGGGGAAGGAUUUCUGUUAUAUGAAAGAAAGAUUAUUGCUCUGGUGAAUAAUGGAGAAAUUAAAGUCUACAAGAACAGACUUCAGUGGGACAGAAACUCUGGACUCUUUACACUCAGAGAGCUGCAGAGGAACGACUCAGGGAUUUAUACUGUCGACUCUAAAACAGGAAAAGGUUUCACAUCAUCAUAUAAGCUCACAGUGUACGACUCUGUACCGACUCCUGCAGUGAAGAAAGUGAGUGUGAGCUCUGAGAGCUGCUCCUUACUGUGUCGGGUGGACAGAGAGACCACACUGCUGUGGUUCAAAGACGAGCAGAUGCUGAACCAGAGCAGCUCUGCGCUCUCUCUGCCUCUCACUGUGCACAAACAGGACUUCAGCUCCUCUUACAGAUGUGUGGCUGCAAACCCUGCAGAGGAGAAAACUCUUCCUGUCCAUGUGAGAACCACCUGUGGAGACACAGACGACAACGACACCAACAGCUCGACUGAACCAAGAAACUAUAACAUCCUCAUUAUAAUCUUCUGUGUCCUGAGUGCUACCCUCAUCAUCAUCGUCAUCAUCAUGAAGAGGAAGCAUCCUGUCCAAGACAAGUUUAAACUCCUACAAGCUGCAGGCAGAGCUCCUGUGGAUGAAGUGCUCCUUUACACUGGCACAGCUGACAGCAGACAGGGUGGGAUUUUAGCGGCGGUAUCGGGAACCAGUGAUGGCUCCAGUCUGACAGCAGUGUCUUACAAACUGGUGCUCGUCACACGAGAGGUGUGACUGGCUGGAACGUCCGAGGAAAGCUGGACUCUGGAAAGAAGUUUUCCUUUGGUACUGAUGAUUUGGAUUGAUUAUGAAUAAAGUGCAUUUUUACAGUGUGAAUGUGCCACAGAAGAGUUUCCAUCUACGUCAUCAUGACCUCUGACCUGCUCCUCUGACACUGAUCAUAAAAGACUGUAUCCAGACAAUGGACAGAGGACGCAGCUGUACGUCAUGUUUACCUGUCAAAUCAUUCAAAUGAUGCAACAAAGCAAAGACUUCCCUCUCUGUCACCUACCUGCUGCCUUGACUCCUCUCUCCUCGCGUCUCUUCCUCGCCUCCUCUCUUUGCAUCCUCAGAGGGAGGGUCUAGGACAAGGGGAGAGGAGGUGAGGGAAGGAAACUUUGGAAGGAUCUGAGGUGAACCUUCACGUCUCCUCUUCAUCGUUUACCUUCGUGGACUCUGAAGGCCUCGUAGUAGGUCUGGGACUAGUAGGACCAGGUCUGUGUGUGAGGAGGAGCAGCUGGGCUUGGAAGAAAGCAGCAGAGACUGAAUCACAUUUGAUUCUGAUCAAUAUUCCUUCAAAGGUUUAUUUGUGAUGUGAGUGCAUGUAGAUCUCCAGGACGAGCCUUACUGCUGCUCUGAGGACUGAAAGCUUCACUGAGCUCUGAUUUAUUUCUCUGCUUUUAAUUCACACCUUUAACUUCACACUUUUGUCCACAGUUCAAACUCCAGCAGCUCACAGAGCUCAUCACUGCCUCCGUCAGCUCACAGGGCGCCCCCUUGUGGUCACUGACAAGCUGUUCACAAAUUAGAUUUGAUGUCAUUUAUUCUCAUCUUCCCGACUGUUGCUGCAAAUACAUGAAAUAAAUAACAGAAGCUUUGUGAGUGUU
ensembl:lncRNA